rnacentral:rRNA from 1 species
UACGAAGGGGGCGAGUGUUAUUCAUAGUGAUUGGGCGUAAAGGGUACGUAGACGGUGUUUUAAGUUCUGCUUAAACAACCAUGGCGCAACUGUGGUCUUUGUAGAAUACUGUUACGCUAGAGUCUUGCAGAGGUUAGUGGUAUUUUUAAGGUAAAAGUAAUAAUUCUCGAUCUUAAGGAGACCCCCAAAGGCGAAGGCAACUAACCAGGUCUAGACUGACGUUAAGGUACGGAGGCAUGGGGAUCGAACAGG